UCCAAAGAAGUCAAUUUCUGCCCACGAUCUAAACCUCUAUAGAUAUCUAAUAGAGGGGUAGACUUUUCGUCUCUAUUUAAAGAUGUGUUGAGAACCGCUAUUCUCCGUCCACAGCAGCAAUAAAUUUGAAGCCUUAGGACACCCCACUGGUCUGUGAACAAGGAGCCUCUUGAAUUGCUCAGAUGAUGGGCAGUUUUAUCAGCUCCACUGAUUCGGCCAAACCUUUCUUAGGCGAGAGAUCAAGAAAUGGCGAGAACGAUCGUAAUGGUGGUGACACCAGGACUCUCUUCUCAGCUGACGAUUCUUCAGGUAACCCCUUGUUCUCGAAUUUGAGUUUCGGACCACCAAAGAGGAUAUUUGGAUGUGCAAGUAGAAUGCUUCUUGGAAUACUCAUUUGAGCAAGGUUACAAGAUCUACUUAUGUUCCUAAAGGACUCUAUAAGUGGAUAGCUACUGAGCCUCGACCUUAGACCUUCAUGGUCGCGAGAUUGUCAGUAGCUCGAUUACUAGUACGGUCUUAUGAAAUUGUCUUACACAUAAAUGAGGACUUUACUUGUUUGAUGGUAAACUCCCGAGAUGUACUCUUGGAUGAAAGCAUAUGAGAGUAGAUUAGAACGCAAAGUCUUUAUUUCGAAUUUUUGUUAAUGAGUAAUUUAGAUCACAUUAUUGAAAUUCAAGAGGAGUUAAUCUUGUCUC